AUUGAACGCUGGCGGCAGGCCUAACACAUGCAAGUCGAGCGGAGCGGCGGACGGGUGAGUAAUGCCUAGGAAUCUGCCUGGUAGUGGGGGAUAACGUCCGGAAACGGGCGCUAAUACCGCAUACUAUCAGAUGAGCCUAGGUCGGAUUAGCUAGUUGGUGGGGUAAAGGCCUACCAAGGCGACGAUCCGUAACUGGUCUGAGAGGAUGAUCAGUCACACUGGAACUGAAACAAGGUCCAGACUCCUACGGGGGGCAGGCGGGGGGAAUAUUUGACAAAUGGCGAAAGCCUGAUCCAGGCAAGCCGCGUGGGUGAAGGAGGUUCUCCGAUUUGAAAGCACUUUAAGUUGGGAGGCGUUACCAACAGAAUAAGCACCGGCUAACUUCGUGCCAGCAGCCGCGGUAAUAC
rnacentral:rRNA from 1 species